GCAGGUCCCCGUGGAAGCCGUGCAGGGGCCCUGAUAUCCAGCUGAGCAAGUAAUUCCUGAUUAGGACAGCAUCCAUGGCCAGGCCCCAGGGCGACAGAGCUGGAAGAGGGUUUUCAAGGUGACUGACUCCUGGGACACACCCAGUUCGAGUCCCCAGCCGAUUCACGAACUGGAUUACAUCCUGGAUUAAUUCUCCACUUUUCAUCUCCCAGGACCUGCUUAAUUUGUUGCCAAUCGCUUGCACACAACACCAGCCCGAUUAAUCUCAGUCUAACAUAUGUGCAUUCACCAGUGAAGUUGUCCUGGCUAAAACAUCUGGCACCAGCAUCUACCUGGGCAUCAACUGUCAUCCUGUGGACUCCCCUAGACCCCAGUACAGCACCUUCUGCCAGCAGGAAGCAGUUAAAGAGAGAAAUCUUCACCCCUUUUUAUAAUAAUAAUCAUAAAAUGGGAUAUGAAAGAAUUUUGGCCCAGACAGGACACUGUAGCCAGUGAAGCCUUAGAGGCGGAACCAAGGAGCUCCUAUCUCCCCUAGGAAUUUACCUGUGACUCCAUCUUCCCCGCCCCUAGGAAUUUACCUAUGGUGCCAAACAAAGACCAAUGGGCUACCCGUGCAUCCCUAAUGCCCCCUUAGGUUCUACCCCAAACUGAGGCUAUUUAAAUACCCCCAUCACCACAUGUCCACCAGAGAGAAAGCCAGACUCCAGUGGUUGGGGAGUGUUUUAGUUUUUCUCUCUCUGCGUUCUCAGAAUAAAGGCCUCUUUUGUUUUAUACUUCUCAUUUUUUGGAUAUAAUCUUAUCAUAUAGGCCAAUCUCCCUAGUGAACAUAGAUGUAAAAAUUGUCAAUAAGAUAUUGGCAAACAGAAUAUGGAAAAUUAUCAAGAAGAUUAAACACCAUGACCAAGUAGGAUUCAUCCCAAAAAUGCAGGGAUGGUUCAAUGUAUGUAAAUCAAUAAAUGCGAUACAC